CAAAGCUCUAGAGGAACUGCUGCUCCUAGGACCCCAGCACAAGAACUUGAGGUCUGCUGAAGUUUAGGUGAAGUUCUAUUAGGUGUCUUUUCUUAGUGGAAGCGUAAAAUGAGAAAAGGAGAGAGACAACUGUGUUCUGGUUAAGCGUGAUUCUUGCUGGAGUAUUCAGCUCUCAGACCUUUCAGUCACAAGUAGCAAAGCUGAGGAUUGCAGAAAUGCACCUUAAAACCAUGCAGACAAGUUGCAGUUAAAAACGCAGGCUCACUGGAAGAUGGAUACUACACAGGGAGAAACGCUGAAAAAAUCCUUUUGGGAGAACAUGUGCUCUCAACCAAGAUAAAACAGAAGCUGAUGCUGAAGAACAAACCUUUAAAAUGAGUGGAGUCACCCUGCUUUCAAACUGUCUUCACCCUGUACUGAACUUUCCCCAAAGUACGCAUGAGAAAGGGAUUUUAGUCCAAAUUGUCAUUGAACCUUUGUACCAAGGAUAUGUAUAACUACCUGCCCUGUAUCCCAGUGAUUCUCUAACAGCAACUACCAUCUUAACUAUUGAAUACUUUAAAUAGUUUAGGCUAUGCCAUAGCAAAGCUAUUGACUGGUUCAGGUAAUUCUUCCAGGCUCAAAUCUUACCCACAACGAACUUCACGAUGAAGAGGCUGUUUCUUGGAUAAACUUCUCCCUAUAACCCAAUUAAGCUUUUGAAAUUGAACUUACUAAUUAAGUAAUAAAUUUUCUGACUGUGCAUAAUUUUGCAUAAUUUUGAUUCUGCUUACACACAAAUCUAAGUGAAAGAAUAACAUGAAAUUAAGUAGUAAUUACACAGAUUUACCUUUGAUUUUGAAUGGCUUUGAUUUGAACUUGCACUGUGUCUCUGUGUAUUUAAAAUAUAGAAAAUUAUCAACUUAAUGUCAUAGUUCAAAUUCACUGGUACUUGUUAAAAUAUUCAACUGCUUAGACAGCAUCAUUUGCAUGCUUUUUGGUAACGUUAUAAAGUGUAAAUAAGAGGUAGAAUGGGAUGUUUAUCUCGCACCUAAGUAUGAAGUUCAGUAAGAUGUUUAAUCAAUUCAGCACGAGAAAUGACUGUUUUUCAUUAAGAAACUGAAGCUGAGGUGAAGUAGUCUGAAGAGAAAUAAGAUGACAAAAAAAAUCAGAAAAAAUUCAGUGGGCUCAGGUGUGUUGUGUAUUGAACUUGCUGCUAAUAUAUAUUAUAUAUAAUACCUUGCUGUUAAUAUAGAAAAU